rnacentral:rRNA from 1 species
CCUACGGGUUGCAGCAGUGGGGAAUCUUAGACAAUGGGCGAAAGCCUGAUCUAGCCAUGCCGCGUGAGUGACGAAGGCCCUAGGGUCGUAAAGCUCUUUCGCCAGGGAUGAUAAUGACAGUACCUGGUAAAGAAACCCCGGCUAACUCCGUGCCAGCAGCCGCGGUAAUACGGAGGGGGUUAGCGUUGUUCGGAAUUACUGGGCGUAAAGCGCGCGUAGGCGGAUUAGUCAGUCAGAGGUGAAAUCCCAGGGCUCAACCCUGGAACUGCCUUUGAUACUGCUAGUCUUGAGUUCGAGAGAGGUGAGUGGAAUUCCGAGUGUAGAGGUGAAAUUCGUAGAUAUUCGGAGGAACACCAGUGGCGAAGGCGGCUCACUGGCUCGAUACUGACGCUGAGGUGCGAAAGCGUGGGGAGCAAACAGGAUUAGAUACCCCAGUAGUC